CCCUUUCGGGGGUACACGAGCGGCGAACGGGUGAGUAACACGUGAGCAAUCUGCCCAUCACUUCGGGAUAACUCCGGGAAACCGGUGCUAAUACCGAAUACGACCACUUCAGGCAUCUGAUGGUGGUGGAAAGUUCUGGCGGUGAUGGAUGAGCUCGCGGCCUAUCAGCUUGUUGGUGGGGUAGUGGCCUACCAAGGCUUCGACGGGUAGCCGGCCUGAGAGGGUGACCGGCCACACUGGGACUGAGACACGGCCCAGACUCCUACGGGAGGCAGCAGUGGGGAAUAUUGGACAAUGGGCGGAAGCCUGAUCCAGCAACGCCGCGUGAGGGAUGACGGCCUUCGGGUUGUAAACCUCUUUCAGCAGGGACGAAGCGCAAGUGACGGUACCUGCAAAAAAAGCACCGGCCAACUACGUGCCAGC
rnacentral:rRNA from 1 species